rnacentral:tRNA from 1 species
GGGAACGUGGCUCAGUGGUAGAGUGCUUGCCUUGCAUGCAUGAGGCCCUGGGUUUGAUUCUCAGUACCA